rnacentral:tRNA from 1 species
AGGAACUGUGCCUGAAUGUCCAAGGAUCACUUUGAUAGAGUGUCUAAUAGGGGUUAAAGUCCCCUCAGUUCCUA